GCUACUGGUUCAUUCUGAUUUCUUCUGUGC
rnacentral:piRNA from 1 species